UGAAACAAUCGGCCUACUACCGAAGACAUCCCUCAUCCUCUCCGAUGUCUCCAGAAUCGGCCAAAGUGCUUCCACAAUUCCAUUAAUUUCCUUUAAUGCCGGAUGAAAUUCUACUACCAGUGGUACUCUAUUACCCAAGUUAGAAUUCUUCCUCUUAUCCGUUUGGCAUAACAUUUCAGCCCUAUCCUUAACUUUAACCUCAGAAAACUGGUCCUUAACCAACUUUUUGUUAAAUCCUCGCUUUAUAAAAUGACCUUCCAUUUCUUUAAGCCUAUCCUGAAAAACUUUUUCCGAACUACAAAUCCGUUUUAAUGUUAGUGCCUGACCAUAGGGGAUUGCCUUCUUCACAUGUGCAGGAUGACAAGACUUGAAGUCUAAGUAUUGAUGUGUAUCAGUCGGUUUUGAAUACACAUCCGUUUGCAAUUUACCAGACUCCAAUUCCACCCGCACAUCCAAAUAAGACACC